rnacentral:rRNA from 1 species
AGCGAACGCUGGCGGCAGGCCUAACACAUGCAAGUCGAACGGAUCCUUCGGGAUUAGUGGCGGACGGGUGAGUAACACGUGGGAACGUGCCCUUUGGUUCGGAACAACUCAGGGAAACUUGAGCUAAUACCGGAUGUGCCCUUCGGGGGAAAGAUUUAUCGCCAUUGGAGCGGCCCGCGUCUGAUUAGCUAGUUGGUGAGGUAACGGCCCACCAAGGCGACGAUCAGUGGCUGGUCUGAGAGGAUGAUCAGCCACACUGGGACUGAGACACGGCCCAGACUCCUACGGGAGGCAGCAGUGGGGAAUCUUGCGCAAUGGGCGAAAGCCUGACGCAGCCAUGCCGCGUGAAUGAUGAAGGUCUUAGGAUUGUAAAAUUCUUUCAGCGGGGACGAUAAUGACGGUACCCGCAGAAGAAGCGCCGGCUAACUUCGUG